UUUGGGCUCAACGGAAAACCGGAUUCCAUUUCCAAACUGAAAUAGAUUAUGACACUUCCGAAGCGUUCGUCUCUGCUUGCUUGCUUUUUGGUUAAUGCCCGUUUCACGUCUCCAUCACAGCCCCGUGAUUUACCAUCCGGGAGAAAAGAGCCAAGUGGACUCCUUGCCUCCCGAUUGCUAGAAAUACAGCAUUACAUAUAUUUGAGAAACCUAAAUCACUCUGAGACCAGAAGAAGAAGAAGAAGAAAAAAAAACACUCAAGUAUUGAUUUAAGCGCAUCUUUCUGCAACAUACCUCCCCGCACAUGCCGGGGAACAUGAAGUGCCCCAUAAAUAUUCUGAGGACCACUCAUUUUCUAGACUUCUGUCACCCCGUGCUGCAGAGUCGUUCAUCCCCACGUGCUCCCAAGAUUUCACACUGCCAGCAGCCCAGGGAAGCAAGCCUGUGCUAAGCACACUGCUGAGAACUGCUUCCAGCCUUGUGGACGACCACCACCCCCAGGCAACUUCUAAAGACAAAGAUGCUAAGUGAUAGGUUGUCUCCACCACAUGGAAAGUUCCAAGAGGUUCAGUUAUGUGUUCAUGUAUGUGCAUGCACAUGUGGAAGCCGGAUACCAACCUCACCUCCUUUCUUCAACUGCUGACCAUGCUUUUCGGGGGGGGGGGGGAUUGGGAGGGACAGGAUCUGUUAGUGAAACUAAACUGAGUGAUUCGGCCAGCGUGGCUGAUAAAGAGGGCCCCAGAGACCCGCCUCUCUCUGCCUCCCCAUUCCUCAGUGCUGGAAUGAUAAGCACACCUCCCACGUCCACCUUUUCACGUGGGUUCUGAGAAUCGAGUCCUCACGUGGACACAGCAAGCACUUACCGACUGAACGGUCUCCCCCGCCCUGAGCUUGGAUUUUAGUUCAUCAGUUCUCUAAUAGCCUCCUGGGACCUGGAAGAGUUCAUUACUUCAGGUUCUUCGGAGUGUGGGGUAGUCCUGUGUCCCGGGUCAUGUCACAGAGCACAUGAAGGUGAUGUUGUGAAAUUAGUCUUAUCACUAGAGUACAGAGCUGUGAGUUCUGGGAACGGAAAGGACCCAGAGCCGUGCCUUUCUCAAACCAGCAGGAAUGAGUCCCAAGUGGCAGUGCCAGGGGUGAGAGACAGAAAAAGUAGAAAUGACAAAAACAAAAGCAAUAGCAGGAACCAGGAGCUCCUGUGUAAGCGAUGACUCAUUCCAAGCAAGUUUAUUAAGAAGUACCGUGUCAUAUAUACUAUUUACAGGGGGGAAAUGGCCAAGGUCAACAGGGAGCUAAGACAGACAAUCUUGGCAAAGAAAAUAUCAUGGCCCGGUGGUCGGGGUGGAGGGAUGGGGGUUGCCCAGAAACCAAACCUUGGCUCCUCUGAGGCACUGGCUCAGUCCUAGACCUCCCUUCUGACAACAUGGCCGGGGAGUCAUGGGGAGAGCCAGAUUGCCAGAAAGCACAACCUCGGUUCCUCUGAGGCACUGGCUCAGACCGAGCCCACUGCUGGACAAGGACACAGAAUGAAAGUUCCCUAAAGGGCCUCCGAGAAAGUCUGGGGUUGGUGUUGCUCUUCGCACAGCCCUUUCUUCCCAGGGAAGACAGUCAGCUUCUGCUCUCGGGAGAGCCAGUCAAGGUCCUCACAGAGAAUCUGCUCCGUGUUGUAUAGAGAAGAGCUUGAUGACCAGAGUUGUUGAAGGUACGACCAUGGCCGAACAGACCCCGUGGCUAGGUAAGAUGGGUUUCGGGUGUUCUGACCUUCAGUCAGUAAUCCGAGAGAUGAAGCUGUGGAAGCCAGAAGAAGGGACUCAAGAAACAAAAGCUGAAUAUUUACAUCGAGAAUCCAGGGCGUGGAAGGCAAACUCCCACUGAAGAUCUGGGGGAGCUUUUAAGCCUCUGACAGAAAAGCCAGGUAAAAAGUAAUGUUAGAAGACAGCUCUGACUGGCAUGGUGUCUGCAUGCUCCAGAUCCCCUCUGUCUACCGGGAAGCAGAUAUCGAGAGGCCUCGUGAUGUCCAAUAUGUGCGCAGGAGUUUGUUUUAAAAUGAUUCUAGAAAAAUAUCCAGGAGCUUACGUGGAAAAGAAAGAUUUCCUUUUCUUUUCUUCCCUCCUUCAAAGUUCCAUCAGCAUCAGGCAGACUCCCGAAGCACACUUCAAACUAAUGCAUUAUCAACGAGUAUACCCGAGACUAAAUUCGUCUUGGAUUGCAGCCACUCGAAGCAUAAAUUACCUUGCAGUCUCCUAUGCUUUAAAGAGUGCUUAAAAGCUUAAAACAGAAACAAGAACAGCGCCCCUGCAGGUCCUUUCACGUGACUCUAGGCUGUACCAGGUUGACAUAAAACCAGCCAGGACACCAGCAUCUGAGCCAAGCGGGGAGACUGCAGAUGAAGACCCGAGACUCUGAGAAAUGACGCAGUGGACUGUUGGGUGACAGUCUUUUCCUGAGGACAUGCAACACACACAUCUAUGGAGCCUAGAAAGGGAGCCAGCCCAUGGUGCCUUUAACACCAGUCUUCAGAGGCUGUGAGAGCCCUGUACGCAGUCUCCAACCGGUGAUGGAGUUCCCCAGUGGACCCAGUCUUUAGGACGAUGUGAUACUCACCCAUGACCCCCUGGGUACCGAGUCCCCAUCAGAACAAGACAGCGAGUACUGUCUCAAGGAAAUUCUAGGAACAAAUGACCACUCUGAGGAUCCUGGGGAUACAUUAUCCUGCAAGACUGCGCGAGGAAGUCCUUGUGUAAAAGUCCACAGAAGGUGGACAGAUUUGCGCGGAAAUACAGACACAUUCAGAAGAAAGAUCAUGUUUUCCAGGACACUGAACAGUAAUGUUCACCAAUUUUCUCUUGGGGCAUCCCUUAAGCUACACUCCAACUUACUUGCCUGGUUUCAACAUUUAAGUCUGAAGAAAAAAAAAAACAUUCAUUUCAAAAAGAAAAGCAAAGGGAGAAAGUUCUCAAUCCACUCUCCAUGAGCAUCCAAGUCUCCAGCAAAAAUUGCCCACUGGCUGUUUUCCUAGAGGAGGAGACAUUUUGAGGUCCCAUCCAAUAACCCAAGGAUUAAGAUCACAGUCUCUGGCCAAGAAUGUCCUAACAGCACACGAAUGUGUAUGUACCCAUGGGUUCACUCACUCAAGUGAACGUUUACCCUCUGUGACAUUGAACUUCACUGUCGAUGGGAACCACGUAGGAGACACAUUUUUGAGUGUGUCUGUAAAGGCGUUUGCAAAGAGGUGCCACUGAAGAGAGAAGGCCCACCCUGAGGUGGGGACACCAUCCCACAGACUGAGAAAAGGGAGAAAAUGAGCAGGACACCAGCAUUCACCUCUCUCUGCUUCCUGACCACACAGCCAACAUGGCCAACGGUCACACGAUCUGAUCACCACGGAAAAAGUGGCUCUCACCUUUUCUACACCAUGGUGGAUUGGCCCCUCAAAACAAGCUCAGAUGAACUCACUCUCUCCCUCUCUCCCUCUCUCUCUCUCUUUCUCUCCCCCUCUCUCCC
rnacentral:sRNA from 1 species